UCCAGUUCUGUCCGACCUCUCCCAGUAGCUGAAACCCUCUAAUCCAGGCAGCAAUCUGGUAAAAGAAAGACUGAAAUGGUUCAAGAAUGUGGUUCCCAACCUCAAGGGCAUUUGGAGGAUGGGCAUUAAGGGCUGUCUAGAUCCUGAGAAAAUGAUUAAAUACAAGAAGGGUUGAUGUUUAUCACUGCAACGACUGAUACGCUUGUCACCUUUGGAUUGCGUAAUCUAGCCACAGGGUGGUGCUGUGUUUUGUUCCAGUAAAUUGUUCAAAAUGUUUAUUUUUUUAAAAAUAUUUUUAU